CCUACGGGUGGCAGCAGUGAGGAAUAUUGGUCAAUGGGCGGGAGCCUGAACCAGCCAAGCCGCGUGAGGGAAGAAGGUACUGAGUAUUGUAAACCUCUUUUGCCAGGGAACAAAGGCGGCCACGGGUCCCCGGAAGAGGGUACCUGGAGAAAAAGCAUCGGCUAACUCCGUGCCAGCAGCCGCGGUAAUACGGAGGAUGCGAGCGUUAUCCGGAUUUAUUGGGUUUAAAGGGUGCGCAGGCGGCGUGUUAAGUCAGCGGUAAAAUGCCGGGGCUAAACCCCGGCGGGCCGUUGAAACUGGCGGGCUGGAGUUGGAGAGAGGUAUGCGGAAUGCGCGGUGUAGCGGUGAAAUGCAUAGAUAUCACGAAGAACCCCGAUUGCGAAGGCAGCAUACCGGCUCCACACUGACGCUGAGGCACGAAAGCGUGGGUAUCGAACAGGAUUAGAUACCCGUGUAGUC
rnacentral:rRNA from 1 species